UCUAAGUCUGAAAUAUGUAUUUAUAAUGCCGCAGGGUUACUUUUGCUAUGAAAUGAUGGUGAGAAAAUUCCCUUCUACUAUUGAAAUACAUGCUUCUAAUGCUGAAGUUAAUGAUUAAUUUUGACAGAACAGCAAAAACAUUUAUUUAAAUGUCAGAAACUGACUACAUUAUUGGCUUCUCUUCUACUAAAUUCUCCCAUGGCAUUUUGACAACAUGGGCAGCUGUAAUGCUUGGCUCACUAAUCCAGAAAAGAAAAGACACUACUGGCAAAGACAUUGAAAAGAAUCACACUGCUAAACCAGUAGCAGCUUUUAUCUUCUUCUCAGAUUGUAUACAUGCAGGAUAAAAGUGUUUCUAACACAUAGACUUCUAUAUUCCAGCAUAAAGAUGUAUUAGGCGCAUUUAUACUUUUACAUCGAAGCCUGUUUCAACAUGAACGGAGCCCAGGGAAGUUGGUGACUUAAUCCUCGUUAUACCCUGAUUUUGGACAAAUUUUACAAGAAGAAUAGGACUUCUACUUCUCUAUGUCUACAUGCACCUGGAACAGUGCUAGGUCUAUGCUUACAAAUUGAUUGGUUCAGGUCACCGCCAUGAGCCUCAGGACAGAAAAUUGCCGGAUAUGAGAGAGAGAGAGAGAUUUGACUGGGCUAAGAAAGAAAUGAACACGAUUUAGAGAUGGAAAUGGUGACAUAUGGGCCUUUGAAGCCUCCCAUGUUCCAGAGAAGAAGACCUGGAACCAUGGUAGGAAGUGGGACAGGGAGCAUUUGGACAAGCUGUUCAAGAACUGAUCAUGCUCAUGUGUAUGGGAAAACAGAUGGAGGAAGAGAAAUUCCUGAAGAGCACAAGACUGGUGGGGCAAGGAACAAGCCUACUGAGAUGAGUUGCAGAUUUGAAGAUGGGAGAAAUGGUUUCGUUGUCUACCAUGUAAAAACUCAUUUAUGCAAGAUGCUUGAUAUCUGAAUUUCAAUUUCUUCAUUAUCAAAAUGAAUAUUAAAAAUACUCUACUUCUUAGAGUUGUCAAAAAGAUACGGAGAUGUGAAUAAUUUGAAAUUAUUAUCUAUAUGUAAAGUAUUACUAUAUUUACUAUCCUUAUCAAAUAUUUAUCCUACUGUCUAACACAUUAAAUGGACAAAAUAGAACAUUUGAAGGGUGUAGAUCUUGAAAGUUUAAUUUUACAUAAAAAAGGCCAGAAACCUUUCCUAAGAAAAAUGUACAUAUUGCAAAAUGUAGCAUAUGAUUUCAAUGGGGCCCACAAACCUUUGAAGGCUAGCUGUGGAUCUUCAGAGUGAAACAAAACAAAGUAAAAUGCCCUAAGAUAUGAAAAGCUUACCUUUAAGUAGAAAUAUUCUGGGUACUUUUCUUCUUUUAAAUUAUCAACUUUAUUGUAUGAUUUGUUCUAUAGAUUAUCUAUUUAUUGUUCAUUUCUAAACCUUAGGAUUCCGAAAUCUUCAGCAAAAUAAAUUACUCAACAGGUAACUAAUAGUGUGGCUGAAGGAGGGACAGGAGUUGUUUUGAUUAUUUCAUUUGUUUCUAUGAGACCUGUUUGGAAAGCUAGGCUGGCAGAAGCACAGCAUUUUUACAGAUACCCCAUCAACUAAAAAUGCAUAUGUAUAGAAAAAGAGAGAUCACUGAUAUUAUAUAUAUAAUACACAUGCAUGCAUGCAUAUAUACACAUAAUGUAUACAUAUGAACAUAUAUGCAUGUGUAUACAUAUAGAUAUAUGAAAUAUAGAUCUAUAUCUACAUUAUAUAUUAUGUAUUAGGAAAUACAGAUGUAUAAAAUGAAAGUAUUUUAGUAAAUGGCUGAAUCUAGAAUUCCCAAGUAAAGCUGUAAUUGUCACUUCCCUCUUUAUUCUGUGCAGAUACUAAGGAACCAUUAUCAAAGGGCCAGUAAUCCUUUGGCCAUUUUUUUAUUUUUCAUUUUCUAAGGAUAGCUUGUUUUGUAAGUUUCCUCUAUGUUAUUGGCAUUAUGUUACUGGAAAGCUUUUAAUUCAAUAAAUAUUUGGCAAGUAUAUAUUGUGCCAAGAAUAGAGAUAUUAAUUUUUAGAAAGACUCAAGCAUGAGACAUAAACGUUUGAAAGAAUGAGUCGUACUUUGGAAAGUACAAUAUAACAAGAGCAGUGCCUACUUUGUUUGUGCAAAAAAGGAGGUAAUUAACAUUACCUGAGAGGGAUCAAGAGAUGGCUUUUCAGAAGGUGACCUGCAACAUCGAUAUCUGUCCUCCAGAGAGAAGAAAGAAGGUUUUCUUCAGAAGGGAAGAUCAUGUGCUAAGCAACAGGAAUUUGGAGGCACUAGGUAAAAGAGAAAGUUCAAGAAAACUUAGGGUUUUUCAUUCUACAAGAAGAUAAUUGGACUGCUACCUUAUUUCCAUCUCUUGCAUGUGUAGCCACAGAAGGAGCAGUUGCAUUUUCUUUUAGCACCUCAUCUUGACUCUAAUUCUACUCUAAAUGUAUCUGCUAUAGAUUAGCCUAUUUUUGUUUCCAUAUGUACCUUUACGAUAAGACUGAUAAUAAAUAUCCAGUGAUAAUCUCU
rnacentral:lncRNA from 1 species